rnacentral:rRNA from 1 species
CCUGACUGCUAUCGGAUUGAUAUUAAGCCAUGCGAGUCUUUGUAGUAUUACAAGGCAGACGGCUCAGUAACACGUAGUCAAUCUACCCUAUGGACGGGGAUAACCUCGGGAAACUGAGAAUAAUACCCGACAGAUCAUAAUGCCUGGAAUGGUUUACGGUUCAAAUGAUUUUUCGCCAUAGGAUGGGACUGCGGUCUAUCAGCUUGUUGGUGAGGUAAUGGCCCACCAAGGCUAUUACAGAUACGGGCUCUGAGAGGAGAAGCCCGGAGAUGGGUACUGAGACACGGACCCAGGUCCUAUGGGGCGCAGCAGGCGAGAAAACUUUGCAAUGUGCGAAAGCACGACGAGGUUAAUCCGAGUGUUUUCUGCUAAAGAAAUCUUUUGUUAGUUCUAAAACCACUAUCGAAUAAGGGGUGGGCAAGUUCUGGUGUCAGCCGCCGCGGUAAAACCAGCACCUCAAGUGGUCAGGAUGAUUAUUGGGCCUAAAGCAUCCGUAGCCGGCUAUGUUAGUUUUCGGUUAAAUCCAUGUGCUCAACACAUGGGCUGUCGAAAAUACUGCAUAGCUAGGGAGUGGGAGAGGUAGACGGUACUCUGUAGGAAGGGGUAAAAUCCUUUGAUCUAUAGAUGACCACCAGUGGCGAAGGCGGUCUACCAGAACAUGUCCGACGGUGAGGGAUGAAAGCUGGGGGAGCAAACCGGAUUAGAUACCCGGGUAGUCCCAGCUGUAAACUAUGCAAACUCAGUGAUGCAUUGGCUUGUGGCCAGUGCAGUGCCGCAGAGAAGUCGUUAAGUCUGCCGCCUGGGAAGUACGUACGCAAGUAUGAAACUUAAAGGAAUUGGCGGGGGAGCACCACAAGGGGUGAAGCCUGCGGUUC